AACUAUAACAACUCGCCUGUUCCAACCCAAGAAACUGUACCGUGAGUGCUAUUUAUUUAUUUAACGGAUAAAUUAAUUCAUUUCAAUUAUUUGGCAUAACUCGCUGAACUCUUUACAGUGAUGGUCACUACAUCAGUCGGUUAAUUCAUGCUUUUGCUCACAAAAGUUAAGUAGCGAAAGCUAACGAUUCGGAUUUAUGCAGCAGGUCUAAAAGAACGAUUUCUUAAAUAAUACCAAUUUACUGUAUGUGGGGCAGAACCCAUGACGGAUAAUAAAGUUCGGAUGGAAGGCCACGACACCAAAAUGCACCCGUUUGAUGGAGACACGCUGGUGGACCAAAUGCAGGAGGACAUGGAGGUUCCUCAAAACUCAGGACAAGUAAUGUGUCACUCGGAGGUGGAGGCGCUGUCUGUGUUGGCUGACGUUGCAUUGGCGCCAUCGUGUGGUGAUGAGGCGUGUUUGGAUGAUGUGGUCAAGAUGGAACAGUGCCUCAAGUCACUCCAGAUGCAGCACCAGUUCCUGAUGAACAUAGCAGAUUUCUUACAAAACCAAGUGAUGAAUGGUGUGGGUGAGCAUUUUGCUUCAACAGUGCAAAAUUUCCUGUACACCUGUCAGCCUUACCUUAACUACUUGGAAUCCACAGCUCGGACCUCUUCCCACCAGUGCAUCCCUCCCCUGUUUGACUUCUGUUCAAAGCUGUAGAAUUGUCUCAGCAGAUGUCUGACAAGUUGGAUCAGCUGGUGUUGACGUACGCCAACUGGGACUUUCUCUCUGUGGACAUCACCCAGCACAACAGCAUAUCUCCCCUUUCCCAUUGGCCAGUUUCACUUCAGAGGAAUGCAGGUGACUGUGUUACGCUUCUGUAAACCGGCACCGUACACGGACCUGGCCAACAUCAGUCCUGUACAAACGCAUAUUGUGGAAAGUGGAGACACUCAAAGACAAGCAGCAGAAGGAGGCAGAAAACUGACUUAAGCACAGACUAUUACUUCUUGUGCUAUGAGGACCUUCCGGUACCCACUGAGGAUAAAGAGGGACAACCAGUCUAGUGCUCAGAGUGAAGUGAUCAGGUUGUGGACUAUCAGUCAGUGGGUUCAGAUCAAACCUGACCCCCCACACAGGGACCAUCUUCGAGUGGAUCUUGGUGUAAAAUUCCUCAGGGUAAAUAUCUUAGGAUGAUGUUUUUGGGCCUUGAAGAACCAUCCAGCUGCAAAGCUACAACUACCUGCUGCAGCUGCUGUCAUCUCAGCAGUGACAUAAACCACCCCUCC